rnacentral:rRNA from 1 species
AACGAACGCUGGCGGCAUGCCUAACACAUGCAAGUCGAACGAGACCUUCGGGUCUAGUGGCGCACGGGUGCGUAACGCGUGGGAACCUGCCUUUAGGUUCGGAAUAACUCAGAGAAAUUUGAGCUAAUACCGGAUGAUGUCUUCGGACCAAAGAUUUAUCGCCUUUAGAUGGGCCCGCGUUGGAUUAGCUAGUUGGUGGGGUAAAGGCCUACCAGGGCGACGAUCCAUAGCUGGUCUGAGAGGAUGAUCAGCCACACUGGGACUGAGACACGGCCCAGACUCCUACGGGAGGCAGCAGUGGGGAAUAUUGGACAAUGGGCGAAAGCCUGAUCCAGCAAUGCCGCGUGAGUGAUGAAGGCCUUAGGGUUGUAAAGCUCUUUUACCCGAGAUGAUAAUGACAGUAUCGGGAGAAUAAGCUCCGGCUAACUCCGUG